rnacentral:rRNA from 1 species
AUUGAACGCUGGCGGCAGGCCUAACACAUGCAAGUCGAAUGGUAACAGGAAACAGCUUGCUGUUUCGCUGACGAGUGGCGGACGGGUGAGUAAUGUCUGGGAAACUGCCUGAUGGAGGGGGAUAACUACUGGAAACGGUAGCUAAUACCGCAUAACGUCGCAAGACCAAAGAGGGGGACCUUCGGGCCUCUUGCCAUCAGAUGUGCCCAGAUGGGAUUAGCUAGUAGGUGGGGUAACGGCUCACCUAGGCGACGAUCCCUAGCUGGUCUGAGAGGAUGACCAGCCACACUGGAACUGAGACACGGUCCAGACUCCGACGGGAGGCAGCAGUGGGGAAUAUUGCACAAUGGGCGCAAGCCUGAUGCAGCCAUGCCGCGUGUAUGAAGAAGGCCUUCGGGUUGUAAAGUACUUUCAGCGGGGAGGAAGGGAGUAAAGUUAAUACCUUUGCUCAUGGACGUUACCCGCAGAAGAAGCACCGGCUAACUCCGU